rnacentral:rRNA from 1 species
CCGAUCCCAUCUCGAACUCGGCCGUGAAACCUGACAGCGCCAAUGGUACUUACGCUCAAGCGUCGGAAGAGUAGGACGUCGCCAGGC